rnacentral:rRNA from 1 species
AGAUACCCUGUUACUUAUAGUUAAAAUUUUUUGGAAUAGUAAUAAUAAUGAAAUUUAACGGAUUUGGCGGCAAGAUAGCUAUUUAGAGGAACCUGCCCUGUAAACGAUAAGCCACGAGAUACUCUACUUUUGUUUGUAAUCAGUUUGUAUACCGCUGUUGUCAGUCAGUUUUAUUAGAAAACUUUCUAUCAUGAUAAAAUCAAGUACUUCAAGUAAAGGUGCAGCUUAUAUAGAAGAUAGAGGUGGGUUACAUUUAAAAUGAUUAAAACAGAUAAAGAUACUGAAAAUUCUUUUGAAGGUGGAUUUAAAUGUAAAGUUUAUGUAAACU